GGAGUCAGCCAGACAAUCGCUGCUUAUCUCGCUUUGCGUUGAUAGGGGGAGGAAAGUCCGGGCUCCAUAGGGCAGGGUGCCAGAUAACGUCUGGGCGAUGUGAAUCGACGACUAGUGCAACAGAGAGCAAACCGCCGAUGGUCGGCUACGCCGAUACAGGUAAGGGUGAAAGGGUGCGGUAAGAGCGCACCGCGCGGCUGGCAACAGUUCGUGGCACGGUAAACUCCACCCGGAGCAAGGUCAAAUAGGGACUCAUUGGCGCGGCCCGCGUUGAGUCCGGGUAGACUGCUAAAGCCGUUUAGCGAUAAACGGAUUAGACGAAUGAUUGUCCUCGACAGAACCCGGCUUAUCGGCUGACUCCGAUA
rnacentral:RNase_P_RNA from 2 species